UACAGAGGGUGCGAGCGUUAAUCGGAAUUACUGGGCGUAAAGCGCACGUAGGCGGCUUGGUAUGUCGGGUGUGAAAUCCCCGGGCUCAACCUGGGAACUGCAUCCGAAACUGCCUUGCUAGAGUAUGGGAGAGGGAAGUGGAAUUUCCGGUGUAGCGGUGAAAUGCGUAGAUAUCGGAAGGAACAUCAGUGGCGAAGGCGCCUUCCUGGACCAAUACUGACGCUCAGGUGCGAAAGCGUGGGGAGCAAACAGG
rnacentral:rRNA from 1 species